GAUGAACGCUAGCUACAGGCUUAACACAUGCAAGUCGAGGGGCAUCAGGAAGAAAGCUUGCUUUCUUUGCUGGCGACCGGCGCACGGGUGAGUAACACGUAUCCAACCUGCCCUUUACUCGGGGAUAGCCUUUCGAAAGAAAGAUUAAUACCCGAUAGCAUAAUGAUUCCGCAUGGUUUCAUUAUUAAAGGAUUCCGGUAAAGGAUGGGGAUGCGUUCCAUUAGGUUGUUGGUGAGGUAACGG
rnacentral:rRNA from 1 species